rfam:Operophtera brumata OBRT01_Sc03460, whole genome shotgun sequence.
UGUUCUAUGGCCGAACUGGUAAACGCAUUGCCGAUCACAGGCAUGGUUGCGGGUUCGAGUCCCGCUGGAACGG